GCCGGGCAUGGCCGGGGUCGGGGACGGGCGGGGGACGCUGCCGGUGAGCCGGGUGUGGCUUUGAGGGACGCCUCGGAGCCUCGGGAGCUCGGCGGAGGGGACGGAACGUCGGCGGGAGUUGUGGGAUGGGCUCCUGGCGCGCCGUGGCUGUGGCUGCUCCCCCGCCCCUCCCCUCCCCGUGGUGACAAUGGCGAUGAUGAGGUGACAGCGAUGAUGCCGCGGUGGUGAUGACGUGACAAUGACAGUGUGGUGACAACGGGAAUGCUGCGGUGACAAUGCCGUGGUGACAAUGACGAUGUCCUGACGAUGAUGCUGUGGGGACAAUGACGAUGUCGUGACAGCGGCAAUGCUGUGGUGACCACGACGAUGCUGUGGUGACAAUGGCAAUGCUGUGGUGGCAAUGAUGUGGUGGCAGCAACGAUGAUGCUGCGAUGACAAUGCUGUGGUGACAAUGACGACAUGGUGGUGACGAUGACGAUGCCAUGGUGACAAUGACGGCGCCGUGGUGACAAUGACGAUGUUGUGGUGAUGAUGACAAUGCUGAGGGGACAAUGCUGAUGCUGUGGUGACAAUGCUGAGGUGACAAUGACAAUGCUGAGGUGACAAUGUCGAGUCCUGGGUCACCCCCUCCAUGUUCUCUCCUGGCCAAGCACCAAGGAUGGGUUUUUCCAGAGCUUUUCCAUUUCUGAGGAUCUCCAGGUGUUGUCCCGCUCAGGAGGUGACAAAGGUGGCCUGUGGCACCCCCCAGACAGGACACGGUGGCACCAACUCCACCCUGGUUCUGCCUCACCCACCCGACCCUAAAAGGAUCCCAAACCUUCCGAAUCGGAGCCCAGAUUCUUAAAAACCUUGGGAAUAUUAAAUCCCAGCAGGAAGCCACCCAAAAUUCCGAGUCGUGUCCUGCCCUUUCGGGCGUGGCCCCACAGGGCCACCACCAGCCGGUGUCACCCGGUGUCACCCACGGGUGCCAGGGCUCAGCGAGGUGCCGGGAGCUCUGGAGCAGGGCCAGCCCUUCCCAUGGGAAAAGCUUUUCCCACCAAACCAUCCCAGCCACGGCUGCUCCCGGCACGUGGCGCUGGCACAGGAGGUGACAUUCCAGGCGGUGGCCUUGGGGACAAAGUGUCCUGGAGCAUCCCGGGGUCCCUCGGGCCUAUCCCAGCAGAUCCAAACUGGGAACACUGGGAGCGGAUCCAGGCGUGUCUCCCUGUCCCAGGGUGUCAUUCCCUAUGGAGCCGGGUGUCACCCGCGGUCCCCUCCCUCAUCCCGAGCCAAGGCCGUUCAGGGAUCCUCUGGAAUGGAGGCUGGGCCCAUCUCCAGUGACGCUGGAAUUUCGGGAAUUCUGGGCUUUUACAAGCCCUUUUACCCAGAUCCCAAGCUGGUUUGGGAUUCCCUGCUGGGAAUCCUCCGGCUCCCAGCCACAUCGGAACAUCCCUCUCCGUGUCCCCACCCCUUCCAUCCGUGCCCAUCCAAUCUCCCGGUUUUCUCCCGGAGUGACUUCACCAAUUCCGAGGAUCAGCCCUUCUCCAUCCUCUCUUCCUGCCUUCCCUGCAAUCCCUGCAAUUCCCAGGGCUCCGUGCCCCGCUCAUCCAGCCCCUGGAGCCUCCUGUUUCCCUGCACAUCCCGUCCUUGCUCCCCGCUGGAAUCCAGCCUUCCCAGCCAUCCUGCAGAGUCCCACAUUCCCAGAUUUUCCCUUUUGGGAAAGCCACGGCCUUUCAUCUCCCGGGUUUUGGGAUGUCAAAGCUUGAAACGUUUCCCGGGAAGCCGGUGGGGAACGGAAUUUUUAAGGAUGGCGGCCGCUCUCCCGCCUUGUCCGAGUUCUCCUGGGUUUUUUAUGGAAUUGCUGUGAAUUCAGGGAAUAAUGGGAGCACGGUUAGGUAAGGAGCAGUGACCCAGUUUGGGAUGCGUUUUCCAGGCUCUGGAAUUGUCCAGAGAAGGGAAGUGUCACCUGAAUGUCCCUCAAGAGCUGCCGGGAGCCAGAGGUGGCCUGGAAUCCCACAGGGAUGGGGACAGGGAGGUGGCCUGGAAUUCUGCAGGGGUGGGGACACUGAGGUGUCCUGGAGACCCACAGGGAUGGGACCCUGGAAUUCUGCAGGGAUGGGGACACUGAGGUGGCCUGGAGUAUCCCAAAAGGACACUGAGGGGGUUUGGAAUUCCACAAGGAACAGGGACACUGAGGUGACCUGGAUUAUCCCAAAAGGACACUGAGGGGGUUUGGAAUUCCACAAGGAACAGGGACACUGAGGUGACCUGGAGUAUCCCAAAAAAACAAUAAGAUUCUUGGAAUUCCACAAGGAGCAGGGACACUGAGGUGACCUGGAGUUCCUCAGGGAUGGGGACAGGGAGGUGGCCUGGAGUCCCCAGAGCGGACAAUGAGGUGUCCUGGAAUCUGGGAAUGGGGACACUGAGGUGGCCUGGAGUCCCAGGGGGAUGGGGACACCAAUGUUCCCAUACCUGAUCUCCCCCCAGCCCUUCCAGUGGCUCUGGAUCCAUGGGAUUAGCGGCCAUUCGGGAAUCAUCCUGGAAUUCCUCCCUCCCCACAUUCAUCCUGAAUUCCCAGCAAUUCCGCACAAGCUCAGGGAAUUCCCUGCUCCAGUUCACCUUCCCCUGCCCGAUCCCUGUGGGAAUGCUCCCUGGGAACCCCGGGAAGAUCCAUGGCUUUUUCCCGAGCUCUAACUCCGGCUCUGUCUCCCCCCAAGCCGGGCGUCCACGGAAGGACCUUUGAGCCGAGGGGCUGGGAAAGAGCCCAAGGAAUUCUGACAGUGGGAACGUCAGGUCACAGUUCAGGCCAGUGACGGUGACAAUCCCGGGACCAGGGACACCCGGGACGGUGACAGUGGCAGCGGAGAAAGGGGACAACUUCCCUUCAUCCGUGGUGGCCCUUGGUGGCCGUGUCCAAGAGCAGCUUCCUCCUGUUUAACCCCAACCCCUGGAAUUGUUGAGGCUGGAAAAUCCCUCUGAUCCCACUGAGUCCAGCCAUUCCCAGCAGUGUUCCGCGUCCCCAAGCGCCACAUCCACACGGCUUUUAAUCCCGCCGGGAAUGGGGGCUCCACCCCUUCCCUGGGCAUCCCAUUCCAGCGCCCCAUCAACUUCUCGGGAAGGAAUUUUCCCAAAAACCCAGCUCCACCUGGCGGUGAUCCCCUCUUGUUCCCUGCCCCGGCUGGAAUUCCUGUCCGGCAUUCCUGGAGCGGUGGCGGGAUCCUGGGAAACCCCGGGAUCCUGGGAAAAGCCCUCUGAGCCAUGGGAGAGGCUCGGGAUGUGCCGGAGCCGCUCCCGCUGCCGGGAGCCGAGCGCGUUCCGCGUGUGACAUCCGUGUCCCCAAUAAAGCUGACGGUGACCGUGA